rnacentral:tRNA from 1 species
GAAAGUUUCUGGUUAGAGCUGCUAACUCAUAACCCAAGCAUUUGCCGUGUUUACCUUUCU